rnacentral:rRNA from 1 species
CAGUCCUUCGGGAGCUGACGAGUUGCGAACGGGUGCGUAACGCGUAUGCAACCUACCUAUAACAGAGGGAUAGCCCAUAGAAAUGUGGAUUAAUACCUCAUAAUAUCUUAAGAUGGCAUCAUCUAAAGAUUAAAACUCCGGUGGUUAUAGAUGGGCAUGCGUGACAUUAGCUAGUUGGUGAGGUAACUGCUCACCAAGGCAACGAUGUCUAGGGGUUCUGAGAGGAUGAUCCCCCACACUGGUACUGAGACACGGACCAGACUCCUACGGGAGGCAGCAGUGAGGAAUAUUGCGCAAUGGAGGAAACUCUGACGCAGCCAUGCCGCGUGCAGGAAGACUGCCCUAUGGGUUGUAAACUGCUUUUAUAUAGGAAGAACUACAGAUACGUGUAUUUGUUUGACGGUACUAUACGAAUAAGGACCGGCUAACUCCGUGCCAGCAGCCGCGGUAAUACGGAGGGUCCAAGCGUUAUCCGGAUUUAUUGGGUUUAAAGGGUCCGUAGGCGGGUCAUUAAGUCAGUGGUGAAAUCCUACAGCUCAACUGUA